AGUAGGUGGGUUUUUCUCUGUGUCUUCUAUUAUAUUACAUUGGUCAUUAUGCCUAUUUUGAUGCCAAUAUCAUAGAGAGCCACUGAUUCUUGGAGGGACUUUCCUCCCAAUCUGUUUUGUUCUUUCAGCUAUAAGAACAAAGAUUUGCUCAAGCAAGAUCAAGUAAAAUUUUUUUCUCUUAUUUUUUUCCCUAAGAAUAUACUUGGAUUGAUUAGAGGAAUCACAUAGAAUUCAAGAACAGAGGUCUUAAUAGAAUUGAGGCUGUUUGAGCCUAAACAAUAUAUGCCCAGAGUAUAAGAAAAUUCAAAAAAUAUCUUGGAGAAAAUGAAGGAUAAUAAUAACCCUGAUUUCUAUCCUAUUGUUAACAGUUAGUAGGUAUGUUAAAUUAGUGCAACCAUUAUGGAAAACACUAUGGAUAUACCUCAAAUAAAUUUAAAAGAGAGUUUACCAUGUGAUCCUUCAAUCCCCCUAUUGAGUAUAUAUGUCCAAAGGAAAAGAAAUGAAAUCAGCAUGUGAAAGAGACAUGUGCAUUCCUGUGUUCAUUGCAGCAUUAUUCAUAAUAGCCAAGAUAUGGAAUCAACCUAAUUGUCUAUCAACAGAUCAAUAG
rnacentral:lncRNA from 1 species